rnacentral:rRNA from 1 species
AGUGAACGCUGGCGGUAGGCCUAACACAUGCAAGUCGAACGGCAGCACAGGAGAGCUUGCUCUCUGGGUGGCGAGUGGCGGACGGGUGAGGAAUACAUCGGAAUCUACUCUGUCGUGGGGGAUAACGUAGGGAAACUUACGCUAAUACCGCAUACGACCUACGGGUGAAAGCAGGGGAUCUUCGGACCUUGCGCGAUUGAAUGAGCCGAUGUCGGAUUAGCUAGUUGGCGGGGUAAAGGCCCACCAAGGCGACGAUCCGUAGCUGGUCUGAGAGGAUGAUCAGCCACACUGGAACUGAGACACGGUCCAGACUCCUACGGGAGGCAGCAGUGGGGAAUAUUGGACAAUGGGCGCAAGCCUGAUCCAGCCAUACCGCGUGGGUGAAGAAGGCCUUCGGGUUGUAAAGCCCUUUUGUUGGGAAAGAAAUCCAUCUGGUUAAUACCCGGGUGGGAUGACGGUACCCAAAGAAUAAGCACCGGCUAACUUCGUGCCAGCAGCCGCAGUAA